rnacentral:lncRNA from 1 species
CAAGGGACAUUGACACCUAUAUCUAUAGCAGACCAAAUGACUUUUGAUACAGGCAUAAAAAAGAAGAGACUGCUAUGGUAGCAGGAGCUAUUCUUAGCUAGUCAGCACUAUCUGCAGAAACAGACUGAUUCACUUUGAUUGCCACUCAGCAGGACUUAAGGGACUACCCAGCCACCAGUCUCCAGAACAAUCUCAUCAUCAAUCCAUUACAGUGCAGAGAGGAGUGCAAGAGAAGCAAGUAAAACAGUUUUAGCUCCAGACACCAAAGAAGAGUUAGACAGUCCCUGGGUGAAGGUUCUUUCUCAUACCAUGACUCUCAAGAUCUUGGCUGCACAGAGACUCAGCCGAGGAAAGGAAGGUACUGAUUAUUUAGGAAUCAUAGAGAAGCUAACAACAAGUGAAAUUUUUUAAUAAGUCUUCUA